rnacentral:lncRNA from 1 species
GGGCGGAGGGAGGCGGGGGUGGGAAGGGGGAGGCCGGCUUUUCCUCCAACCCGCAGCUCUUCUGGGCCAGGGGAGACCUCCGUGCUGCUUUGGUUCCUUCGUGUUUCUGCAGAAAGGUCGGGUUGGGUCGUGGCGCGGGGAAAGGAGAUGAGGGAGCUGGGGCGAAGGAUGCGGCCCUGAUGGAGGCUCCCACACCGCGCCUGCAUCGGCCUGCAUGGGGAGCCGCCCCUGCCCUGGCUUUUCCUCCAACCCGCAGCUCUUCUGGGCCAGGGGAGACCUCCGUGCUGCUUUGGUUCCUUCGUGUUUCUGCAGAAAGUUUGCACCGCUCCCAUUGUGUUUUUCACACCUGGAACACUUUGUGUUGUCCUCUGAUGGCCCUCAGACUUCCGCUGACAGAACCGGAGCACGGCGGAGCUCAGCUGCCGAUCGAGCGUCCUUCACUGAGUUCUUCCCUCCCAUUCCCUGCCGUUCCAUCUUGGCACGUCGAGCUCAGCUCAGUUCUGGUGUUUACCAGUAAACACGAGUUGGGGUUAAAAAUUUGAAUUAAAGCUAUUUUGUAAUGAAAAAAAAGCCAAAAAUUACUGACUUCAUUUCUGUGUUUGAUUUGCAUGAGCUAAAGGGGGAGAUGCUCCCUUGCACGAUUCACACUUCUGCACACAAAUGAACGAAACGCCCCAACGUCGCCGUCAGAUUUUAACAUUUCAACACUGGGUGAAAGGCUGCGGUGCAUCAUUCGUCACAAUGGCCAACAUCUCCCCACGUCCCCAUAUGUCCCCACGUCCCCCAUCCCUGCGUCCCUUUCCUCACAUCUGCCCCACAUUCCUGUAGUCCUGCCCCCCAAAUCUCCCCCCCUCAUUCACAUUUUCCCAAACCUGCAUUUUUUAUUCUGCCCAAAUCUGCAUUUUUUUGCCCCAAACUCUUUUUCCCGUGGCCCAGUGUCGUAUUCAGGACCCGAAGCCCCAUAGGGUCAGCCCCAAAUUCCCUAUUUCUGAACCCCAAAUGUCACUGUUUCAUCCCACAGAUGUGAUGGAUUCGCUCCCCCCUUUCAGGAGGCACCAAAUUCUCCUCUUUGGGUCCCAACGCCUGAUCCGAAUUGAGCCCAACGGCCGCGAUGGGCAGAUGUGGGGCACUAUGGGGUCUGUGGGGUGGAUGGGGGGCACUAUGGGGUCUGUGGGGCGGAUGGGGGGCACUAUGGGGUCUGUGGGGCAGAUGUAGGGCACUAUGGAGUCUGCGGGGUGGAUGUGGGGCACUAUGGGGUCUGUGGAGCAGAUGUGGGGCACUAUGGGGUCUGCGGGGCGGAUGUGGAGCACUAUGGGGUCUGUGGGGUGGAUGGGGGGCACUAUGGGGUCUGUGGGGUGGAUGUGGGGCACUAUGGGGUCUGUGGGGUGGAUGUGGAGCAGUGCAGGGAAUUAUGGGGCUCUGGGAGUGAGGCUGUGGGGAUCUAUGGGGCCGCAGUGGGGCACCGUGCGGGCACUUGGGGGGCAGAUGUGGGGCACCGUGGGGAUCUGUGGGGCAGUGCAGGGAGCUGUGGGGCCCUAUGGG